rnacentral:rRNA from 1 species
UACAGAGGGUGCAAGCGUUGUCCGGAAUUAUUGGGCGUAAAGCGCGUGUAGGCGGCUUUGCAAGUCGGGUGUGAAAGCCCUCAGCUCAACUGAGGAAGUGCGCCCGAAACUGCAGAGCUUGAGUGCCGGAGAGGGUGGCGGAAUUCCCCAAGUAGAGGUGAAAUUCGUAGAUAUCUGGAGGAACACCGGUGGCGAAGGCGGCAUCCUGGACCGACACUGACACUGAGGAGCGAAAGCCAGGGGAGCAAACGGG